rnacentral:rRNA from 2 species
UGGUGGGUAGUUUGACUGGGGCGGUCUCCUCCCAAAGCGUAACGGAGGAGCACGAAGGUUAGCUAAUCCUGGUCGGACAUCAGGAGGUUAGUGCAAUGGCAUAAGCUAGCUUGACUGCGAGCGUGACGGCGCGAGCAGGUGCGAAAGCAGGUCAUAGUGAUCCGGUGGUUCUGAAUGGAAGGGCCAUCGCUCAACGGAUAAAAGGUACUCCGGGGAUAACAGGCUGAUACCGCCCAAGAGUUCAUAUCGACGGCGGUGUUUGGCACCUCGAUGUCGGCUCAUCACAUCCUGGGGCUGAAGUAGGUCCCAAGGGUAUGGCUGUUCGCCAUUUAAAGUGGUACGCGAGCUGGGUUUAGAACGUCGUGAGACAGUUCGGUCCCUAUCUGCCGUGGGCGCUGGAGAAUUGAGGGGGGCUGCUCCUAGUACGAGAGGACCGGAGUGGACGCAUCACUGGUGUUCGGGUUGUCAUGCCAAUGGCACUGCCCGGUAGCUAAAUGCGGAAGAGAUAAGUGCUGAAAGCAUCUAAGCACGAAACUUGCCCCGAGAUGAGUUCUCCCUGAGACUUUAAGUCUCCUGAAGGAACGUUAAAGACGAUGACGUUGAUAGGCCGGGUGUGUAAGCGCAGCGAUGCGUUGAGCUAACCGGUACUAAUGAACCGUGAGGCUUAACCUU